AGGAGGAUGAUUCAGACUCUCAAAUGAUCCUCUCCAACUGAAAACAAGACCUGCACAAAAUGUUCACAAGCCAGCAAACCGCGAAACUGAAGCCAAAUAUCGUGAGAAUUUCCAAUCGUCGCAGUUGGGUCACACACUUCGAUUGGCCUAAUCCCCAUUUUCCCCAUCCUUUAAUCCUGCAAUAGCCAUCAAUGAGGAGUAUGCAAAGAGGAUAUUCGUCUUUGAAAGCAAGCGUUUGGGUUAUUUCUUCUUCAUGUCAUUGAACAAAGAAAAUUUCUGAGAAGAAUCCUUUGGGAGAGGAGCUUGGUCGAGGAACGGUUUUGGGAAACAAGGUUAAGGUCGAGUCCAAUUUCAACUCCAUAAUUCCUCUUCCGUGUGAAAGGGAUAAUGAAAGCAAAGUCGCAGGUGGAAAUAGAGAUGACAACAAUAGGUACGAGCAUAGCGGAAACUAGAAGAGCUUAAAAAAGUGCUUAUUUGAAUAAGCAACCUCUUCAGCAACAACAAACGCAAUACAACACUCCUUGCUUAGAAUUCCUGCGAUCUCGACUCGAAAUUUUCGGUUCUGGUUUCACGCCUCAAAUUCGAAUUUGGUUUUUAUAUUAAGAAAAGAACAAACAUCUGUGGGAAGAGAAGAUAUCCUCUGGUCGAUUUGAAUCAUUGUCGUCGGAGAUUGCGAGAGAAAACCAGAGUUGCUUUGAACUUCAGGCAAAUUAUGGAUCGUUGUGUGUGGAUUGUGAUUGAAGAGAUUUUUCCAUUGCGUGAGUGUUAUGCCUUUAGUGCUUAUGUAGUUGCGGUUGUUGUGUUUGCGUGAAUUACUUUACAAUUGUUGUGAGCUUCUGAGAAUUGUGAAAAGGUUGAUGCGGUUAAUUCUGAUGUAGUGUGCAGAAGAAAAAAGAUGCAGGAUUAAGAUGAAGGUGAGGCAGGAUGAAGAUGAAGGUGAGGCAGAAAGAAGAUGAAGGAAGCAGAAUGAAGAUCUCCCUUCAAAUUGCAGGGAAGGUUUACAUUGGUUCUGGUGUGCACUUGCAGAUCUGGUCAAAUGAUGCAUGUCCUUGGUUUUAUAGCAGGUUUGAAGUGGUUUAGCAGAUGGAUUGUGAGCCAAACGUUGCUGCAAAUUCACAAGCCUUGAUAUGGUUCUGCAGCAAUGUUGUAGGUCAUGUUUGGCCUGGUCUAUGUGCAUGCUGACUUGGUUUUUGUACUACAAUUGCAGGUUUAGCAUGUUGCUGCAAGUUGAUGUCCAUGUGAUGGCUUGGUUCGUGCAUCACAGUGGUUCAAAAUGACACCAAACUUGGAAACCAAAAGCAACAAUGUGUCAUUGAUCAAUCAUGGGUCAACAUGGAUCAUGGAAAGAUUAGGGAUGGAAUUGGGAUUAGGACUAGGAGUUGGGGUUGAAAUUGUAUGGAUUUUGUAUUGAAAAUUAUUUGGAAUCAAGUAUUAAAUGGAGAGCUAAUUAAAUGUCAAAAUUGUUAUGGAAAUUAAAUGCCUUGCAUGUUGGAUUAUAA